rnacentral:rRNA from 1 species
GAUGAACGCUGGCGGCGUGCUUAACACAUGCAAGUCGAACGGGAAUUAUUUUAUUGAAACUUCGGUCGAUUUAAUUUAAUUCUAGUGGCGGACGGGUGAGUAACGCGUGGGUAACCUGCCUUAUACAGGGGGAUAACAGUCAGAAAUGGCUGCUAAUACCGCAUAAGCGCACAGAGCUGCAUGGCUCAGUGUGAAAAACUCCGGUGGUAUAAGAUGGACCCGCGUUGGAUUAGCUUGUUGGCAGGGUAACGGCCUACCAAGGCGACGAUCCAUAGCCGGCCUGAGAGGGUGAACGGCCACAUUGGGACUGAGACACGGCCCAGACUCCUACGGGAAGCAGCAGUGGGGAAUAUUGCACAAUGGGGGAAACCCUGAUGCAGCGACGCCGCGUGAAGGAAGAAGUAUCUCGGUAUGUAAACUUCUAUCAGCAGGGAAGAUAGUGACGGUACCUGACUAAGAAGCCCCGGCUAACUACGUG